rnacentral:rRNA from 1 species
UCCCGAGGUCUCAAGCGUUGUUCGGAUUCAUCGGGCGUAAACGCUCCGUAGGCCGCGCGGUAAGUCGCGUGUGAAAUCUCGGAGCUUAACUCCGAAACUGCAUUCGAUACUGCCGUGCUUGAGGACUGGAGAGGAGACUGGAAUUUCCGGUGUAGCGGUGAAAUGCGUAGAUAUCGGAAGGAGGACCUGUGGCGAAGAGGGCUCACUGGACGAGUAGUGACGCUGAUGCACGGGAGAGAGGGGAGCAAACAGG